rnacentral:piRNA from 1 species
UCAUGAACUUGUACUUCACGCAGGU